AACUUUUUUCUUUUGUCUUUCUAGGUGUAGUAUCUGUUCUUAUUAGCUUAAUAUCUAAUAGAUCCCCUAUAUGGGGACAUAUGAAUAUUAAACUUAUUUUUGAACACAGACGAAGUGCUAGGAGCUUGCUCCACCUUUGUCACGGGUUGGCUAGGUAUUGCAGUACCGCCUGGAUCGGCCCAAAUAAA